rnacentral:lncRNA from 1 species
AGGACAUGGGCCUUAUUAUCUGUAACCCCAGUGUCAAAGUAUUUCUGUGUGUGUCUUGGGCAGAGGCAGGGAAACCUCCAGAGAAAACAUGGGCAAAGGUUUCUGUUUUGUCAUGUGAAAAAAAUCUGAUGAAUACCACAGAGUACUGCCUGACAGACCUGCAUGAGAAGCUAGUAGAAUAUAAAUCCCUGUCUAUGCAUGCUGACUUGCAGAAUUGAUGAAGUAUGGAUGAUCUGUACAAAGCCUCUGAGAGUAACCUCUGAUUUGUUUAAAUGUGUCAGUCUUGUUCAUUCACUUUGACACAGCAGACCGAGAGUUUAAUGUAUGAUGCGCUAUGUAUAACAGUAAUACUCCUAAGGAAAAAAAGAGUGUGUGAUUUGAUUUUGUAUCAGAGAGUAGAUAAAGAAGGG